CGCACAUUGCGCCCGCCAGUACUCUGGCGGGCAUGCCUGUCCGAGCGUCAUUUCAACCCUCAAGCCCCCGGGCUUGGUGUUGGGGAUCGGCCCGCCCCCGCGGCGCGCCGUCCCCUAAAUCUAGUGGCGGCCUCGCUGCAGCCUCCCCUGCGUAGUAGCUAACACCUCGCAACGGGAACUCAGCGCGGCCACGCCGUUAAACCCCCCACUUCUGAAAGGUUGACCUCGGAUCAGGUAGGACUACCCGCUGAACUUAA
rnacentral:misc_RNA from 1 species